rnacentral:lncRNA from 1 species
AUACGAUUAAACCCACAUUAAUUUGAAGUAAAUUGAGCAUGAGGCGAACUAAUGGUGCAUAAUAAUUAGGGGUUUUCCGUUUAACUGGGGUUAAUAUAGUAACAGAUGCAUAUCAAUGGAAAUAGGCAGUCAGAUAAUACCUUUGGCGGUGAGAUAUGCCGUCGUUGAUGUGCUGAAUCCGUGUUCGAAUGCGCAGGCAGUAGAGCUAAAAAUAAAACACAGCACAAAAGGAAGGGACACACACAGAGCACACACCACACACCGGAGGGGAGACCCUGGGCCAAAAAACACCCCAUGCUGUCUCCCCUUAAAACCAGAACUCUUUGUUUUUUUAUUCAGAUUUUUUGACCUGCCAUGCAAGCGCACCUGCCAUGGCAAAGGCCGGAUGACAAAGAUCGGUCCAGGACUCAUCUCUUCCACCGAGCCUUUCGUCCCGACAUCUCUUACAUCCGUGCAAACCCAAAUCCACCCAAAAAUACCCCAGCUUUCACCUUCCCCAAUCAUCAUAUUACAGUUAUAGCUUUCGAUUAACCAAUAUACAUGAGUUUGCGCCCUUCAGCCGCAAGGAGAAAUCAGAUCUGCAGAUGUUGAAACGAUGUCGAUCCAAUUGAUCUCGGAAAUUUCAAGGCUUCGAACCUCCAUCGGUGUAAGAGAUCGGUAUAUGCAUCUGAUCGAAAACAAAAUGUAAAAUAAAAAAAUUUAAAAAAAAAAAGCAAUCAGAAUCUGUAUCAAGCUGAUAUUCGUUACAGAUCCAUAAAAUUCACCCAAAUAAUUAAAAAAAAACGCUAUGAUUAAUAUCUAGAUAACCAAAUCGAAUCAAAAACACAUACGAACCUUUAAAAUCUGAAUCAAAGAACACAAGCACAAGCUGGUCAAACCAGCAAAACUCCAAAAGCAUCUCAAACCAUCUUCACAACCCAAAACCACCAUCAACGGGUAGAUCCGAAGCCGAUCUACACGAAUCCGGAAGAAUCAGACGAAGAUAACAAUCCAUGCAGAGAAGAUCUGCAGAAAAAAGAGGAACUAUAGAGUUGUGGAGGGAGGGAGAGGGAGGGAGAGAGAGAGAGAGAGAACAUAUGGUGGCGUUGAAACCUGAAUGAUUUAGAGCCAUCCACCCUAACGUAACUUUUAUAAUGGGAUAAGGGGUGCGAUGGACGGUUGAGCUUGAUUUCGCAUCUUUGAAAUCGACGAAUAGUAUGGGAUGUCGUGUUUGGUGGUUCAUGACCUGGACGUUACCAUCCAAGACACGUUAUUUUGCCGCUUAGUGGGGGAGGACAAGUGGUGGGACCAUGGCUUUUCUUCUUUGUUUGGGAAUCCGAUACGCGUUUAUAGUUGUUUUACCGGAAUUAUGGUUACCCUCCCAAUUUCUUAAUUAAUAAUUCGCAUCUAGAAUCUCAUUCUCUGACCAGAAAAAGAAGGUAUUGGGCCAUUCGCACUUAUUCCUUUUACUUCAGAGCAUUUCGAUGAUAUGGCCAUACUCAAACAAGCCCAGACUGGGGAUGGACUUUGGGCUUAACUUUAUGUUAUACUUCACGGCCCCGAUUGUUAGACGGUCUUAAGCUGGAAUUGUCUUAUGAAUGGUUUGGGAGCUAGGUGCUUAAAAAAAAAACACACCCAUGAAAAAAAGUUGUGAGGGUUUUAGGUGUUUGGUAAACUAAAAAAAAGAGGCUUAUUUUGGAAGCUGCUGUGAGAAUAAGCUGAAAUCAAAGGAAAAAGCUGAAGCAGCUUUGGAAAACUGGCUUUUUUUCAAAGCACACGAAGCUACAGUGCUCAUUUAAUGAAAAGACCCACUAUCAGACUGCUUUUUUUUUUCAAAAGUACUUUUACAAAAAAGCUUACCAAACACUCUACUGAUUUAUUUCACAGCCGCUUAUUCUCACAGCAGUUUUUUUUCAAAGCAUAUCAAUACCAAACUAGCCCUUAGGCCAUUUCUGCUGGCUAUACGGUUUAUAGGUCAAAUGAUAAGUUUUUUUUUUAACACAAAACUCAUCUUUAAAGGAGGUCUAGGCCGAAAAAUCUUGGGAUCCAUCGGGCCAAAAUCUAGUUAUAUGGCCAGUGGACUGGGCAUAGCCAACCAGUUCAAUUGGGACCAACUGGGGUUUUUUUUUUUAAGGUGUAAUUAAAAAUUUUAAUUUUCUUCCUAUAAGUACGUAAGAAAUUUUUGCACAAUUUCUCACAUCUUUUUCACAUUUUCAUACUAUCUUACCUUAUUGUGUUUCAAUCCUUCCCAUUCUAUUCACCUCAAACACUCUUUUCAUACACACCAGUCUCUUACCUCUUCUAAUACUCUUUCCUUUAAUUUUUUUAAUAAUUUUCAAAUGGCAACAUUUUCAAGUGACACUCAAAAUAUGUCUGGAAGCUUAUUCAUUUAGCCACAAGUGGCAUUCAAUAUAUCCAGAAAUCUUAAUUUAAUAUGGUAGUUUAAUUCAAUUAGCCAAUAAAAUUAUAGAACAAACUUAAAAAAAUAAAUAAUUGUGGGGGCCAAAAAAUAGUCCCCUUCAGUUUGAGAUUGUAUAUAAAUAUAGUAUGGCACUGUUCAUUAAAAAAUAAUUUCUUGCAAGGCUGUAAUUUGGACGGAUGCUAAACAUAGCCCAUUUAGUUGGAGAUGGCCUUAGGAUUACUAUUCGGUGUUUGGAGUGAGCUCGAACUGAAUUUAAUGAGACUAAGUCGAACUCGUCUUAUAAUAAUGCGAAACCUCGUACUACAUAAAAAUGACCUAAGGCCAACAAAUAAGAAAAAAGGGUUUUAGUUGUGUACUUCGUCCUAGAAGCCGUGGUUGCUUUGAAUUCGUAUUGCAUACUUAUUUUCGAAACUUUAAACGUUAAAGAAGCGGAAAAAUAAACUUUAAAGUAAAAAGACCAAAUGCCCAUAUAUGUUUUCUCGUUUACAAUUUUAUUUGACUUGCAUAUUUUUGUGAUUAAAAUGUCCUACGACUUGUCUCCUAUCUAGCUAAAAUUAUGAUUGUUGUUGAGAAUUUAUUUCGUUGUUUUGGGAAGGUUCAAGAUCAAUAAUGACUAAAUCGCCCUAGCUUUCAUCCUUAAGUUGAAAUAGAAGAUCCUACGCUGGAUAUUAUGCAAGAGAUCAGCAUAUAAAUAUCAGCUUAAAAUGGCCAGUUGCACCCUCCUUAAAUGGUUUAAUCAUCACCCAUCAACUCAAAACUAACUUGGUUCCCUUACUAACUAGUUAGUAAGAAAUUGUUAGUUCUUAUCAAACUAGGUUUCAAGCUAUAAACAUAUGCCUCUAGAUCACCUGAUUUCAAGCUUUAAGAACUAGAAAAACUAGCUUUGAACAAUGGGUUGAUCACCAAAUUCUCUCAAACACUUCAAUUACGUUAAAGAAGUUGCAUCUUUCCAUUUGGAGUUUUUUUUUUUUUUUUUUUUUUUUUUUGAAACAAUGAAUGGAUCAAGGACUCGUGAACUUUCCUUUCUUGAGCAUUUUCAGCAAGUACUUGAACGCUUAAUUAUAUUUCCAAGUCUGAAUAACUAAGAUGGUGGUGAGGACAAAUCUGAUCACUCAAGACGGUGCAAACACCAAAUCAUGUUGCCUAGGGCGACGUAACCGUAAAAUUCGGUCAACCAAAGACGUUCAGUCAUCCAAUCUAAGGGCAUAAGUUGACGCAUCCACAAAACAGUUUGGUAAGGUUAUUGCCGCAGGGGUUUCAAGCGUAAAGAGGUGGAUCUCAUCUAAGUCACUAACAACUAAGAACCACCCCAAAUUCAAAAUCUAGCUCCAAAUCAAAAGACAACGACUUGAGAGAAGGAAAAAUGCCAACUUUGCGGUAGACACUCCAAAAAAGCCAUAGAAAAAUGGUUGGCCUAAAAAAAGUAAGGGACAGCAAGUGCUGGGUAGCACCUUGGAAGGAAGAUGAAUGGAAAUUGCCUAAGAGAAAACGAAAAGAGUGGAGGAAGGCGGUGUUGACAGUUGUCCCAGAUUGAUGAGGGACAAUGUUUGCUAUAUGCUUAUAUGGUCUUGGGCUACUUUCCAUAUUGCUAAUUAAUUUUGUGGUAGAAUCUCAAUUUCAUCAUGGUAUCAGAACGUGUUGUCCUCGUAUGAAGUCAAACGGCCACACGAGCUUGUUGUCCAUGUGUAGACUUGAAAAUCCGCCACACAUGCAGGGCGUCUUGACAGUUGUCCCACAUCGGUGAGGGACAAAGUUUGUUAUGUGCUUAUAUGGUCACGUGUAGACUUGAAAAUCCGUCACACAUGCAGGGGCAUCUUGACAGUUGUUCCACAUCGGUUAGGACAAGAUUUACUAUGUGCUUAUAUAGUCUUGAACUACUUCCCAUAUUAUUUCCGAUGGAACCUCAAUUUCAUCAUGCGGCCGUGGGAAUGGAGAGUGGAGGGGGCAGUAAAGGGGCUAGGAGGAUGGGGAAGAGGUUCGGAGGAGAUGUGAGGCUGCUGCCAAUAACUCCCCCUCUGGUCGCCCCGCUUGGCUCCUUUACUACAUCAUCAUCCAUGUUGAUGCACCACAAAAGGUCCUACUUGCCGAUCGGAAAGAAGCAGGAGCAUUGUGAGAAAUUUAGUGCAGAUCUGGGUGGAUUUGAACCACCAACCUCUCAAGGACCAGAAAGGACUUGAGCGCUCUACCAUUUUUGAGCUUACAGAUCUUUAUUGCAUACAAUGCAUUCUCCAUUCAAACCCUAACAGAAGUCUGAUAUUCGAUCUAUCAAAUUCAAAACUCAGAACCAAAGGGCUUGUAUGCGAAACCACCAUCACUAGGGUUUGCCCUCUGUAACAAUUUCAAUCUCAUUUUCAACAACAAAUAUAAAAGAUAAACAAACACUUAUCAACAGUGGCUUCAAAGACGAAUGCCAAGGAAGACAUCCUUCAAAGACUGAGCAUGACGUUUAAACUAACAUAUUCAAAAUCAAAACCAACAAAUGGAACUCUACUGCCAAAAAAGAACUACAAAUUACAUAUAGUUCCGCCGACUACAUUCACAUCAACUAAACCUGUAUCUUCCAAACAAAAUAACUCCAAUUCCUCCAAAAUUCAAUAGAAAAAAAUUAGGGGCAAAGUAUUCAAACAUAACUCCGACAUGAAUAAGAUAAUUAAAUACAUAAUACUGAUCGCCAAAUGUGAAAUAAUCUUUGUAACGACUCGUUGUGAGGACUUGCAAUAACUUUUACAACAAAAGGAAUGUGAAGCUCAACUUGUAUCAUUGCACCUCAAAACUUCACAUAGAGAUUGCAGGGCAACGGAAUUAGAAUUUCCGCAUGACCAAGCAGCUUUUAUUUGAGCAGAAACAUCAUUGGGGCUCGUAAAAAAAACAGAGCUUCCAGCAGACACUCCCUUGCAACAAACUACGGGAAUACAUCGAUGGCCGCAUCAAUAGCAGCCAAAAGCAUUAUUACAUGAUAUUACAACCAGAUCCCAGAAUAUAACAUAACAUCCGUUGUGAUCAAAUUAUGAAAGAAUAACAUAACACUGUUGCAUUCUCAUUUAAUAAAAUUUGUAGUAGCUUCGUAACGAGGCAACAAUUACUGCACACGUCUGGAAUUUGCCUGUUAAUAUGACUUGCAAAAGAAAUAAAUUUGAUGCGCCGAUGGCCAUCUUUGUAAACAUACAUGAUUAACGAUAUAUAUGCAACUAUGAACCAUCACAACUUGAGCACGAAACUAAUUAAUUAUGACUUAACUGUGCAAAUAGAUUUAGUUAGAUUAAUACCUUUGGCGACGAGAUUUCGAGGUUGUUGCUGUUGCCAACAAUCCAUGUUCGACUGGUAUGCAUGUGGCAAGAGAGCAAAAAUAAAACAGGGAGAACGAAAAGGCAAAAAGCACACACCACACACCGGAGGGGAGACCUGGGGAGAAAAAAACUCAUGCCGUCUCCCCUCCAAACCAAAAAAUUGUUACUUUUUAUUGCGAUAUGUUUUUUGACCUGCCAUGCAAGCGCACCUGUCAUGGCAAAGAUCGGUCCAGGACUCGGCCCUUUCUCUGAACCUUUCGUCCCGACAUCUUAUACAUCCGAUACAUAACCUAUCCCCACUCCCCAAAUCCCCCAGCCUUCAGCUUCCCACUCGUCAAAUUACAUUCAUGCCCUUGGAUUUACGAAUGUGCGUCACUCACAGCACCAUUAACUACCAGAGAAUCGGUUCUGCAGAGGCUGAAACGACGCUGGAAUCAAGCUCGGAAACGUCAAGGCCUGAAACCUCCUUGAAUUCGACAACAGCUCCUUGGCCAUAUCUGAUUGGAUUAACAAUCACGGAGCAAUCAGAAACUGUAGGGAACUACUGAAUCAAUUGAGCUUGGAGAUUUACAAAUCGAUAGCAUAUCAAGAUAAGAAAAACGAAUGGAAAUCACAUACGAACCUGUAAAUCUGAAUCGAACAUCGAAGAACAACAAAUCGAGCUGGUUUUAACUAGCUAUUCAAUUCAACAGCAGCGCAAAACAUCUUCACAACCUAAAACCGGCAUCGAUAUACGGAUCUCUAAUCAAUCUACCAGAAUUCAAAAGAAAUCGAAAGAGAAAGCAAUCAAUGCAGACUGGAUUUGCAGGAGUAGAACUACUCUGGAGGACCAAUAGAAUUGUGAACAGAGAAAGAGAGAGAGAGACAUUGAAGCCGUUGAAUGGUUUUAGAUUCACACAGCCUAACGUAAUUUAUAGUAGGAGAUGGGAUGCUAUGGACGGUUAGGAUUGAAUUUCUGUCUUUGAAAUCGAAGGCUGAUAUGGGAAGGGUGGUACCGGUUACCAACCAGGACACAUUAAUUUGCCGCUUUCGUAGGUGGAGUGGGAAUCCAGCACAUGUGCGUAUUAGUCUUGUACUAUAAUUAGGAUUCACCCGCGCCAAUUUUCUCAAGAGAUGUUUAUUCAGAAAAAACUGUUUAUUUUAACGAAAAAUUAUAUUUUUACAUUAAAAAGUAAUCAUAAUACUAUUUACUUUACCCAAAAUUUUCAAAUUUUCAUAUUAAUUUUCCUUUUUCUUAAUCAUGCUUCUAGAAUAUUGUAUUUGCCACAAAAAGGCUGGCAAUAUUCAAAAAGUAAAUAAUCUAGUUCCAAUCGGGACAUGUUUACGUAUAAAGAUACUUGAGCUGCCUAAAUCGGUGUAACAACCAAAGUACUAGUUUGGUAUUAAAAUGAUUUUAUAAAAAGUGGAUAAUAAAAAAAAUUGAGCUUAAAAUAAUGUUUAUUAAACAUUUAAAAUAUCUUAUUUUCAUAAUUUUGGAAAAAAAAAAAAAAAAAAAACCUGAAAAUGUGUAGCAGCUAGAAAAAAUAUUGAAACACUUUUAAAUGUUUUUCCAAGAUAUUUUUAUUAAAAAUUAGUAACAAAAACAUUUCACUAAAAGUUAUUUCAACUAUUUUCAGAACUCUUCCGGACAAUUAUUUUCCCAACCCUUUAGAGUAAAUAUAAUUUUGCAUCAAAAAGUAAAAGCAAAAAAAGAGACCGAAAAAAGGAAACAGAAGGCAAACCUAAACCCCUCACCCGACAUAACCAAACCAUCUAAUGGUCAAUUCAGAGCAGAUCUGGAUGGAUUCGAACCACCAACCUCUCAUAAGCCCAGUCAAGGACCCUGAGCGCUCUACCAUUUUUGAGCUUACAGAUCUUCGUUUCAACUGACGAGGCAAAAUGAGAAACACCAUCAACAAAGUUUUCACACCUAGUUUUUCAGUUUCUUCUUUCCAAUAACAAGCUUCCAGUACAUCCUAAUUACCUGUCAACUCACGUUUAGCAAAAGGGCGAUGUCUGUUUGAAUGGGGAUUGAAUUUAACUCGAAUGAAGGAGAAUUAAGCUAAGCCCCGCAAUUAACCAACAAUAACAGUGUAACAAUGUAAAUAUUACACAUACUUGCCAUCCAUAUGAGUUGAAUGCCUCUAGACCGGGAGUUAAAUACCACUAGACCGGGACACUCGUCGAUCUCUAAACCCUGAUCCAAACUUGUAAACUACAAAGCAGAGCAACAGUCACACAAUUAUUCCACAGCCCAGGAACAAAACAACCUACACCUUCUCAUGCAACCCUAAACAGCAUCCAACUUGUCCAAAUUCACAACGCCGCUGUUUCUUUUUUUUUGGGGGGGGGGGAAUAUUCUAUCUCAACUUAACAAAUGAACAGAAUAAAUAAAUGACAAUGCUAAUGGCCACAUGAAAUAAUCCUCGCAGUGGAUUCAAUCACAAAAUUAGGGGUGAAAUAUUCUAUCUAAACUGAACAAAUGAACAGAAUAAAUAAAUGAUAAUGGGCACAUGAAAUAAUCCUCACAAUGGAUUCAAUCACAUAAGGUAAAUUAACUGAAAAUAUUACUUGCUGAGAUUUAAAACUUCAAAGACAAAAGAUUGUGAAGCUCAACUCGUUUCCUUGGUCAUCUCAAGUUCUGGGAAAAGAGACUGCAAUGUAACGAAAUUUGGAUCUUCCCCACGACCACACAGCUUGUUUUUGAGUAGAAAUUCCAUUAACUUGUAAAUGAUAUGAGAGACUUCAUUCUGGCUAUUAUGAAUCCUUGAGAAGAGACCUUCCGGCAGCCAACUUCCCUAGAAUCGUCUAAUUUGAAUACAAGGCAUGGCUUGCAACAAUGGCAGCCAAAGCAACAUAAUUACAUGAUAUUACAAAGAGCCACGCAUUAACAGACCUCAAAAUAUCUAGCAACAUCCAUUGAGAUCAAACAAUAACAAAAUAGGCACUUCAGGGUAUAUGAUAACACAAUCCUACUCUCAGCUCAUAGAAUUCGUAAGUACAAUAAUAUCGAGGCAAUAAUCAGUGCAUAAUGGUAACUUUAAAAAGUAAGCCGGAUAGAUUUUGGAAGCGGGAAUUGUUCAAGUAGUAUGAUAGAAUGUGUAGAGUGUGGCAUAAGUAGAUUGUAAAAUUACCAAGUAAUUAUUGGUCAUGAUUUGGAUCUUUCAAUUACAAAGUUCUUUUUCUGGAUCAAAUACUGUAAUUUGUACUCAACAAUAAAUAUAGAUUAAAUAACUUAAUUUAGCUUUAAAACAAUUACAGGUGCUUUUUUUCUGGAUUAAAUAACUCAGUUUACCUUCAAAAUAAAGGAGUUGAUUGAAGAACUCCACAAUUAGCAAACUGAAAAAUUAUUAUUAUUCUUUCUAUCAAUCCCUAAGCUCCAAGAAUUAUAGGUUAUAUCGAUUGAAGGCUUCAUAGUGUAUACAAAAUUAGAUUAAUCCCACAUGUGAGAAUGAGACCUAAUUAAUCGUGCACGUGAUUAUAUGUUUCCUGUGCAAAUCAAUUGAAAUAGGCUGUCAGAUAAUACCUUUGGAGGCGAGAUAUCGAUGCAUUUGUAGUUGUCCGGAAUCCAUGUCCGACUGUUUGCAGUUGGCGGCAAGCAAAAUUGAAACAUGGAACAAAAAGACAAAGACAGAGAGCGCACACCACACCGGAGGAGAGACCCUGGGCAAAACAAACCCAUG